rnacentral:rRNA from 1 species
GACAGGGGGCUCGAGCGUUAAUCGGAAUCAUUGGGCUUAAAGGGUGCGUAGGCGGGUUGCUAAGUGUUCUGUGAAAUCCCCCGGCUCAACCGGGGAAUCGCAGGGCAUACUGGCAGCCUUGAGGCAUGUAGGGGCGGACGGAACUGUAGGUGGAGCGGUGAAAUGCGUAGAUAUCUGGAGGAACACCGGUGGCGAAGGCGGCAUCCUGGACCGGUAUUGACGCUGAGGCGCGAAAGCUAGGGGAGCAAACGGG